AAGAAAGGAAUGCCAAUUAAAUAUGGUUGAAAUGUGACCACAACUAGAUAGGUCCACUGCUGCUUGUCACUAAAGCUUGGGUGGCACGUCGACUGAUUUUGACUUUUGGCCCCGAUAAGGUCUGCUGCAAUGUAAACGCAUUUUCAAAAUCACUCAAUUUUUGUCAAAACCGAACCUCUUCUAAAAUCAGUAAAUGUAGAAGUGUCAGAACUGAUUGAAUUUCGCUCAUAAUUCAAUAAACGUUUAUUGAAUUCACCUAGAUAUGCAUAUAAUUAACUCCAAUCUGACAGAUGCUCCUUAACGAUUUUCGCAUUUUACAAAAACCUCAAGAGCUCAUAGUCCGUGUUCCAGGGAACAACUUUGCUAAAGAUCGCGAAACGAUUCGUUCCGUUGUUCAGAAAAACUGUAAACAGAACGCAAAUUCUGGACAAAAAAAUGACGCAACGGAUUUUUUUCAUGUGAAAAACAUAAGUUUUACUCCAAACAUACUUUUAAUGUAAAAUCAAAUUUGCAAUCAAGAAGUUCUUUACGUAUUUUUUGAUAAAAUGCACCGUUUUCAAGGUAUACUCACUUAAAGUUAAAUUUCAAUUGAAUACCUAAUUGGGUCCUAAAAUGAAGCUUAGAUCGUUGAUAUUAUUGUUUACAGCGAUAAAGCUUAUUUUUCUGAGUACAAUGACGCUUUGUACGACCACAAAGAGUUGGAAAUGGAUUUUUAAAUCAAUUUUGAAAAAUUAACCUCGCGGUCGUUCUUGACAGAAAAGCUCCUACUUGACAGCUCGUUCCAAGGGGACCAUAGUUGAUCCAUCGAAAAAAUGUUGUCUUGUCAUUUUUUUUUUUUUUUGCAUUAAGUGAACCGCAUUUUGCAUUUUGCAUUAAGUGAACCGAAAUGGUUUUUAAUCGUGUUUUUUACCGUUGUACAUAAAAAUUGACAUGGGGCUUUAGUAUCCAAUUCCAGUUGUUCGUUUUUUUUAAAGAAAUUGAGAAAAUGUCCAAUAAAACUGACCAAGAGAUACUGAAGAUGUGACCUCUGGUUGCAGAAAUAUAGCGAAUAAAAUAAAAAAAGAAAAUUUGAGUUUUCUAAAGGAGGUAUGCAAACAAACAUACAAACAAAUCGCGAUCGGUUGACAGUUUGUUUGCAUACAUUUUGCUUUGUUCGCGAGUUUGCCGCAAACGAACGCCUGACAAACACGAAAAAGUUCAAGUUUGUUUGUUUGUUUGCCAAUACUAAUACCUGUUUAAGUCUUGAAUAUGAAAUAUUGGAAUAUUUAUUUCAAAAAGAUCGGCAAAUUAUUUUAAGUUUUUUUUUUUGCAUUGAACAAAGGACCAUUAGAUAUUUAUACUAGAGACUUAAAAAACUUAAAUUUCUGUGUUUCUUUUUCAAUUAUUCGCUGUAUAUCAGCAACCAGAGAUCCAAUCUUUAGUGCCACUUAGGCAAUUUUACUGGAAAUUUUCUCAACUUUUUGAAUGGGAUGGGCAAUCUUUAACAAAAUCAUAACACUGGAAUUUUUCUGUUAAAAUUCAAAUUUGAGUUUCUUCAAUUAAAAACGAUACUUAAUUCACCUUUAGGUGGUUGGUGCCAUCCUCACAUUCAUAAAGUCAAUACAUUCAGUAGAAAUAGCAACAUUCCCUUAACAUGUUUAACAAAUCAAUUUUAUUACUGAUUUCUUUUGAUAGGGUUCGCCGACGUUCAAUUUUUCGGCUCAUCGGCAAGGUCUGAUAAAAAAAAACCUAUUCAACGAAAGGACAUGGAAGAUUCAGACAAUAUUUUUAUCACAAUAUCUCAGAUCCGGCCUCCAGAAAGUAUAUAAGUAACACUUAAGUGCCAAUAACUUUUGAUAGGGUUGCCAUAUCCUUGAUGUUUUAGGCUCAUUUGAAAGUUCUUUCAAUUAUCUAACUAACGAUGGGUCGCAUGAUGGACCCGGACAUAAUUUUUACUCAAAUAUCUGAGAUCCGGCCUCCAAAAAGUGUAUAAAUAACACUUAAGUGCUAAUAACAUUUGAUAGGGUUGUCAGAUCCUUGAUGUUUUAGGCUCAUUUGAAAGUUCUUUCAAUUAUCUAACUAACGAUGGGUCGCAUGAUGGACCCGGACAUAAUUUUUACUCAAAUAUCUGAGAUCCGGCCUCCAAAAAGUGUAUAAAUAACACUUAAGUGCUAAUAACAUUUGAUAGGGUUGUCAGAUCCUUGAUGUUUUAGGCUCAUUUGAAAGUUCUUUCAAUUAUCUAACUAACGAUGGGUCGCAUGAUGGACCCGGACAUAAUUUUUACUCAAAUAUCUGAGAUCCGGCCUCCAAAAAGUGUAUAAAUAACACUUAAGUGCUAAUAACUUUUGAUAGGGUUGUCAGAUCCUUGAUGUUUUAGGCUCAUUUGAAAGGUCUUUCAAUUAUCUAACUAACGAUGGGUCGCAUGAUGGACCCGGACAUAAUUUUUACUCAAAUAUCUGAGAUCCGGCCUCCAAAAAGUGUAUAAAUAACACUUAAGUGCUAAUAACUUUUAAUAGGGUUGUCAGAUCUUCAAUGUUUUGGGCUCAUUGGAAAGGUCUUUUAAAUACCUUUUUGAAAAUGUAUAAUAUGAUAGGGUUUCUUGCAAAAACCACCCUUUUUACAAUCUUCCGGACAUACGCCAAAAUCGUUUUUUUAGCAUAACUUUUGAAGUACUUAACUAAACUUGCUGAUUUUAAAUAGAGACCUAUGGGACCCCAAGACGGAUCGAAUGAGACUAAUACGGUCAAAAUCCGUUCAUCCAGUCCGGAGAUAAUCGAGUGACAAUUUUUUUGUCCACCCACCUACACACAUCCACACAGACAUUUGCUCAGAACAUGAUUCUGAGUCGAUAUGUAUACGUGAAGGUGGGUCUACGAGGUCAAAUUAAUAAGUUCAUUUUUCGAGUGAUUUUAUAGCCUUUCCUCAGUAAGGUGAGGAAGGCAAAAAU